UGGGGAAUUUUGCACAAUGGGGGAAACCCUGAUGCAGCGACGCCGCGUGAUUUAGAAGGCCUUCGGGUUGUAAAAAUCUUUUCUAUGGGAAGAAAAUGACAGUACCAUAGGAAUAAGGACCGGCUAAUUACGUGCCAGCAGCCGCGGUAAUACGUAAGGUCCGAGCGUUGUCCGGAAUCAUUGGGCGUAAAGGGUACGUAGGCGGGUAAGCAAGUUAGAAGUGAAAUCCUAUAGCUCAACUAUAGUAAGCUUUUAAAACUGCUCAUCUUGAGGUAUGGAAGGGAAAGUGAAUUCCUAGUGUAGCGGUGAAAUGCGCAGAUAUUAGGAGGAAUACCGGUGGCGAAGGCGACUUUCUGGCCAUAACCUGACGCUGAGGUACGAAAGCGUGGGUAGCAAACAGG
rnacentral:rRNA from 1 species